rnacentral:sRNA from 1 species
UAUUAGCCCUGAUUGCAGUGGCAUCCUUUUUUUGCUUUGAUAAGUGGCAAAAAAAGAUACAACGGAAAGCAGGAAAUAGC